GAAUCUUAGACAAUGGGGGAAACCCUGAUCUAGCCAUGCCGCGUGAUCGAUGAAGGCCUUAGGGUUGUAAAGAUCUUUCAGCUGGGAAGAUAAUGACGGUACCAGCAGAAGAAGCCCCGGCUAACUCCGUGCCAGCAGCCGCGGUAAUACGGAGGGGGCUAGCGGUAUUCGGAGUUACUGGGCGUAAAGCGCACGUAGGAGGGGAAAAAAGUUUGGGGUGAAAUCCCGGGGGUCAACCCCGGAACUUCCCCUAAAACUCCUGGUCUUGAGGUCGAGGGAGGGGAGGUGAAUUCCGAGUGUAGAGGUGAAAUUCGUUGAUAUUCGGAGGAACACCAGUUGCGAAGGCGGCUCACUGGCUCGAUACUGACGCUGGAGUUCGAAAGCGUGGGGAGCAAACA
rnacentral:rRNA from 1 species